rnacentral:rRNA from 1 species
UACGUAGGGUGCAAGCGUUGUCCGGAAUUAUUGGGCGUAAAGAGCUCGUAGGCGGUUCGUCGCGUCGGCUGUGAAAUCCCGAGGCUCAACCUCGGGUCUGCAGUCGAUACGGGCGGACUGGAGUACUGCAGGGGAGACUGGAAUUCCUGGUGUAGCGGUGAAAUGCGCAGAUAUCAGGAGGAACACCGGUGGCGAAGGCGGGUCUCUGGGCAGAUACUGACGCUGAGGAGCGAAAGCGUGGGGAGCGAACAGG